rnacentral:lncRNA from 1 species
AGUGAUUCAUUUAGAAGAGGUUUGAACCCUAACUUUCCUCUUUUUUCCAUCUCUUUUACUAUAGCCUUAAAAAGUUCAGUUGAAAUUCAGAACACUGCAGCUAAUGAGUGAAUUACAGUGGAAUGGCUGCUCAAAAUUUUCCAGAAGAAGCGUAACCAAGAGGUCGACUCCACUAUACCAGCAGACUGGUAGAUUCCCUAAAGAAAGAUACUCCCCUCCUUGGAGAACUUGUGAUUUGAAAGUCAGACAAGAAGCUCUGAACAGAGACACAGGCAGAAACGGUGGGGUGUUUCUGCUUGGUGCUCUGGGAGCAAACCUGAUGAAGGAAAAUGGAUUGCGAAUAACACUGUUGCCUUUUGAUGUAGUUUUGUGGAAAUGCACCUCAGCAAAGCACAGAGUUAAGAAUGACAAGGGUGAGUGAAGGGAAUUAUUUAACCUGGUCACACUUGUGUGGGAUGCAAGGGAGAAAUCUCAGUGAUCAAAGGGUUACAAGCCCUAGACCAGGUGAUGACAUGUCUGUUGUGUGGUGAUCUCAAAG